UGUUUGUGCUUCAGUAGCAGCUGAUUGGAGGAUCAGCGUCCCACCACCUCCUCCUCCUCCCAGUCAGAUUACAGAGUCUCCUGAACCAGCCUCCUCACCCUCCUCACCCUUCCUCACCCCUCCUCUCAUUUUACAGCCUCUAAAUCUGCACCCCAUGGAGUCGCACAUCUGUUUGGUCAGAGCUGCUUUCCAAACCAGGAGUCACAAAACACCAACAGACAGUUUCCCAAAAUGUGUCAUUUAUUAAAAGAUUUUUCUGUUUGUUUUUGUAUCAUUAUUGGAAAAAGACAGAAAAAUAAGCCAGAGAGUGGAGGAUGUGGGGGAGUAAAUAUCACAAGAAAGACGAGAGGUGAGAGUUUAGCUGGGAAAGAAGAGAUGCUAACGGGAUUUAAAGGAGAUCAAGGGAGGCAGAGGGGGAGGCAGAGGGGAGAUAGAGGGGAGGUAGAGGGGAGAUAGAUAAAAAAAGAAAAAAAAGGGAGAUAGAGGGGAAGUAGAGGGGAGAUAGAGGGGAGAUAGAGGGGAAGUAGAGGGGAGAUAGAUAAAAAAAGAAAAAAAAGGGAGAUAGAGGGGAAGUAGAGGGGAGAUAGAGGGGUAGUAGAGGGGAAGUAGAGGGGAGAUAGAGGGGACGUAGAAGGGAGAUAGAUAAAAAAGAAAAGGGAGAUAGAGGGGAAAUAGAGGGGAGAUAGAGGGGAAGUAGAGGGGAGAUAGAGGGGAAGUAGAGGGGAGAUAGAGGGGGAGAUAGAGGGGAGAUAGAGGGGAAAUAGAGGAGUAGUAGAGGGGAGAUAGAGGGGAAGUAGAGGGGAGAUAGAGGGGGAGAUAGAGGGGAGAUAGAGGGGAAAUAGAGGGGAGGUAGAGGGGAGACAGAAGGGAGGUAGAGGGGAGGCUAUAGUCUACACUAAAAGAGAAGAAGAAGAAGAAGGCAGGUAAAACAAAGAUUGUAGUCGGACCGUGACGG